CUGUGGCAGUGCGUCCCCUCUCCGCGGGAUCGUCGCCAUGGUCCUGCGAUCCUAGGAGUCGGGCAAGGCCGAACCUGCCUGAAGAAACCUCAAGCGGAGAUUCAAGGAAGCACCACGUGAUCCCUAAGGAUCCCAAAGAUGCGUCGGGCAUGCAUGGGCGGUGUGAGGGUGCGUCUCCCUGACAGGUGUCCCCGCUGGGAUUUCGAGGAAUUAUCCGAUGAAAAGUAGAAGAGGUUGAAUGACUUUCAGUGGCCUUUUCUUCACAGGGCUCACCUGAAACUUCAUGUACCAUUGCACUUCCUGAGAAGCUGUCCCCAAUCCCAGGCUCCUAGCAAUGCUGUUCCAGUAAUCUCUCUUCUGUAAGACAGCCACUCCACCCACUGCAGUCUACAAGGAAAGCCUCCAUAGCUGUGCCUUCUUUCCACAGGCCUUUGAAGAGAGCUUCAGGCACACACCUCAAAGUGCUGCCACCUACGGAUCAGCUGUAUUAUUAGCAAUAGCUGACACUGUGACCAGCCUUUAUUCACCUGAGCUCUGUCUUUAUGUCAUGGUUCUCAUCAGCAUCCAGGGCUCCUUUCCUUGCUCCAGUAAGGAAAGUAUAUUUGGCUUAGGGACUGCACAUACAGCUUAAAAGAAAGGAAAUGGUGCAUGGUCAUGCUAGGGGAUUCCCAGAUUCAAAUCUAGUCCAUUGGCAUCAAAGAAGGGAGACACUGACAGGAAGUGACAGAGAAAGAUGUGACAGUCUAAAGGAUAAGAGAUAAAAAGAUUAUUCAGUAAGAACAGUCUCAGGAAAACAGGACCUUCAACAGAGAUAAGAGAAUUAAAAUAUGCAGACUAACAACUCUGGGAAUGGGCUGACCAGCCUGAUAAGAAUAGGCUGAUGGCACCUACAGAAGGCCACAAAACACUGACCAAGAAAGCAAUGACCAACAAAGCAAUGACCUGAGACUGCACAUUUCACAAGAAUGUUUUGAUCAUCAUUUUUUCUAAUUUCCCUUAAAAACCCCUGAUAUGGAGACAGAACUCGGCGGUCUUUGAACACUAGUUCACUGCCUCCCCUGGGUUGUUGGAUUCCUGAAUAGAGCUAACCAUCCUUUCACCAAUGCUCAUCUCUUAAACUUUCAAGUGACAAGUGGUCUGGACCUGAAUUUCGUUACAAAACCUAUGUAUACCUUACCUUACAUGGCAAAGGGGACUUUAGAAGUGCAAUUAAAUUAAGGAUCUUGAGAGGGGGUUAUCCUGGAUUAUCUGGUUGGGCCCAAUGUAUUUGUAAGUGAUAGAGGGAGGCAGGUGAGUAAAAAAAGGAAACGUGAUGAUGAAAGCACAAGUCAAAAUGUGAUUGCUGGCUUUGAAAAUGGAUGGAAGCCACACCCCAGGGAUCGUGGACAGCCUUUAGAACCAGAAAAGGACAAGGAAACAGAUUCUCCAGUCCUCUAGAACCUCCAGAAGGAACAUGGCUCUGCUAAUACUAUGAUAUUAGCCCUUUCAGACUGAUUUCAGACUUCUGACCAGCAGAGGUAUAAAUCAUAAUUAUAUUGAUUUAAGCCACUAAAUUAGUGGUUAUUAGUAACGGCAGCAACAGGAAACUAUAUCAGCAACAAGACUCCUUCCUUCAUAGAACCCAAUUCCCAACCAAUUUUCAAACUUUCACAGAAAAUCUUGCCACACACUGAGACUAGGAACAUCCAACAAAAAAAUGCUAUCACUUUCAAAUGGAAAACCCAGGAUUGUAGAGAAGAUCAAAUUUUGUCAUGUAUCACAUUUAAACACUCAUCUCUACCUCACCAAACCGUGGUACUAAUGUGUACCAAUCUUAAAAGGAGGUAUUUCUGUUCCCUCAGAGCUCUGGGCAGAAGACUAUGCCUGUGGACAAUGUAGAAUUAUCUGCUGAAUGAAUAUCUGAAAACUGUUUGGAGAGGGGAAAAGCAUUGAGAAGAAUUGGGCUCUUUGCUACUAUUACUCGCUAGAAUGGGAGACGUUUGGAAGCAGUUCCCUUAAGGAACCAAACAAGGCAGGAAAUUCUGGGAUAAAUCUGGUGUUCACAUUACACAACAAAAUGAUUGUACUUCAAGAAGGAAAGAAACAGCAACUCACGUGGGGCAUGGUUUUUUAGAACUGAUCAAUUUUCUGGGUUCUUCUCCUGGAGGUGUGCAAAGUCCAGAGAAGCCAGUGCUGGACAAGGAAAAGAAGCCACAAGAUUAGACUUGGCUCACAGCCCACAAAAUAAACUACUUAGAACUACCUUUACUUCUCCUCUUUUGGGAAUUUGGAAAAAAUCUCAGUUCUUCCACAAACCCAAUGGAAGCCAGCUACUGCAGAAGGGGUUCAGGCAGACCUUUCCUUAAUGUCCAUGUUGAACAGGACCCUAGGUGCUGUUACUUUCCCAUGGCAUCUCCUCUUCCACAGUAGAACAGAGGCAUGCCCAGGGAGCCCCCCACCAUCCUCCUGGACCCAAACACUAAGUCAGGUACUUUGCUCCCAAUCUUAGGAAGGGGCUUCAGAGACCAAAAUGUGGCCUUCUUUCAGACGUCAUGAACAUCAGCUAGACUCACAGACAUUUUGACAGACAUAUCAGGGUCAACAGAUCCAAAACAGUCUCAUCCCACUCCCCUGAAUCUAGUUCUUUCUUGCCUGUUUACUCUUCCCUAUAAAAGAAAAUUCCUUUAUGCCUGACCUUUGCUAUGCUUGCAGAUCUUAUGGCUGGAGUAUUCUCCCAAUUACAACACCUCCUCCCUUACUGCAGUGUUCCUGUGAAUAAAGUCAUUCCUUACCAAAAAAAAAAAAAAAA
rnacentral:lncRNA from 1 species